rnacentral:misc_RNA from 1 species
UCUCCGUUGGUGAACCAGCGGAGGGAUCAUUACCGAGUUUACAACUCCCAAACCCUUAUGUGAACCAUACCUAUCGUUGCUUCGGCGGGAGAGCCCCGGCCCCCUCGGGCCCGGAGUCAGGCGCCCGCCGGAGACCCCAAACUCUUUGUUUUACUUGAGUAUCGUCUGAGUGGUAUAAACAAAUACAUCAAAACUUUUAACAACGGAUCUCUUGGCUCUG